CGCGUAGGCGGCCGAUUAAGUCGGGGGUGAAAGCCUGUGGCUCAACCACAGAAUUGCCUUCGAUACUGGUUGGCUUGAGACCGGAAGAGGACAGCGGAACUGCGAGUGUAGAGGUGAAAUUCGUAGAUAUUCGCAAGAACACCAGUGGCGAAGGCGGCUGUCUGGUCCGGUUCUGACGCUGAGGCGCGAAAGCGUGGGGAGCAAACAGGAUUAGAUACCCCCGUA
rnacentral:rRNA from 1 species